CAGUUUGUUCUACGGAAGUGGCUG
rnacentral:siRNA from 1 species